AGGGUCACAAUCCUGUCACCCUCUGUGACAGAAAGGAGGUAAAACAGCAGUUUUCAUCAACAGCAGUUUUAUAUUUUAUUAUUUUAUGUAGGCAAAACUCCCUAAUUCCCUCCUCCCACUCUAACAAACUACCGUCUAAAUGCAGCUGGUGGUUUUAUAUGUAAAGUUUGUGGCACUUCAAUGCAAAAUUUGGAGAAACCGUAGGUGGUAUGAAAAUAGUGUCUUCAAUUUUAAAACAAUAUGAUGGAUUUCUCUAAAAACAGAAAGUUAAACUGUGUUUCUACAUGAAAGUAUGACAACAUAGUAAAGCCUCAAAAAUAGUGAAUUUUAAUUUCUAUGUCUUUAAUGGGGCAUAGAAUUGUAUUAUAUCUGUAAUUGUUGCUAUGGGAGGCCCCAACAAUUGUGUUUUUAAAAAUGUACACAAUUACACUUAAAAUGUUUAUUUUUGAACAGCAUUGCUAAGUUAUUAUUUUUAACUUGUUGCUACUUAUUUGUGAAAAGGCAACAUUAUCAAACUUAAAUAUCUGUUUUUACAACUUUUAAACAGAUAAGCCCUCAAAGUGAUGUAUGCUCUGGGAAUGGCGAAAGCUUAAGUCUUCAGAAGAGCCAGCAGACAGAAGCACCCUCUCCUUCUACCAUCACAACCAGCGAGGCUCCUAGAACUAGAAAAACCUCCUACUGGAAUUGUUGGCGUCUUCUUAACAAGAAAAAGCAGAGCCAUCUCCAACAAGAUGUGGACGGGGUCACAAUCCAUUCACCCUCAGUGACAGAAAUGAGUUAUUGCACAAGUGAGAAGUCUCAGGGAGGAGAGACUGGUGUUGAGUUCAGGGCCUCACCUGUUCUUGACAGUCCUGUCUCUGCUCACCAUGAGCCGCAUCUCCAAGCAGUCCAACAAUGCUCCACCACUAUACAAUGCACUGGUGAUUUUGGGGAUGUCGAAGAUGGAGGACUGGAUGGUUUUCCUGCAUCUUCCAGAGAAGGAGACUCCCACACUGGCCAGAACAGCAGAGUGGAAGAGACUGUCUUGUCCUCUACUGCCACAGCACAGAUCAUAAACAACCAAGAGGACUGCAAAGAAAGCGAGGCUGAUGUCCAAGACAACAUCCAACCUGCGUCUUAAAGUCAAGACAAGACUCCCAAGAAAGAAUGGUAUGAAAACUGUCUAGUCUGGAUUCAGGAUGUUUGAAUAGAAUCAUGCAUAUGCACUUACACACUUAGUAUUUUUUUUCUAUUUUUCUGUUGACAAUUUCUCUGUUUCAACACUCAAUAUAUAUUUGACCUCCCUUAACUAUCACAAAAUAGUCUGCUGCAGAAUUAAAAACUAGGUACUUGGCAUAUUAUGGUCUGCAUGUUUACGUAUUAAGAAUGUUGUGUAAUUACAGACGUCUGAAUGUAUUUGCGUUCUCUUUCCAGCCCUUGAA